GAUAGCCAGGAUUACAUAGAGAAACCCUGUCUCAAGAAGUGAAAAAGAAAGCAGGAAAAAAAAUGUUUACUAGUUCAUUAUACAAGAGCUAUUUUCCAUAUGUUUUUAGGUAACAAAGGGAAUGAGAGUUCACUAUAUAUAUCCUGUACUCAGCAUCCAUAUCCUUUCAGGUUGUUUUAUUGUUUUUAAACCAGUAGUUUUUAAAAUCCAUUUUGCUGUUAUCAUUUUUCAUGCAAAAAUAAGUUAGAAUACUUUUGAUUUAUAUACUGGGAAAUGAUAUUGGAUACUCCUGAAAGGAUUGUUGAAAACAAAUCACAAAAUUUUAAUCAAAUAAUUAUAAUUUAUUUGAGUAGUAUUUGUUUUUGAAGUAGAGAUAAAAUAAUGUGGUCAUUGAGCAGCUGUUUUGAAGACAUAGCAGGUGUGCCUCAGCUCCUAUAUGCUGGGAUUUCAAGUGUGUCCUAACAUGCCUGGCUUUUAUUACAUCUUUUUUUUUUUUUUAAUUGUGGCAUAAGAGAAAGCUUCCCUGAGAUUUGAAGUGUUAUGUUAGUGGCUGAGUUUAGAAUAGGUUCAAUCAUGAACAGAAUCUGUAAUUCCUGUGAAAGUCCAGAUUUGUAUGUAUUAGCAGUAUAAUAGCAUCUACUCAUAAGGUAAGGUUGCAUUCAGACUACAGAAUGCUUAAAGAUGCGGUAUAUACCAUAGAGUUACAAAACCCUAGAGUUGAUAUAGAUCUUUUUCUAGGACAGUCAAUUGAGGCAAGCUAAAAAUGUCUACUUCUAUCAUUUUAAUGGCAUAAUUUUAUAUCUGCCAACUUUUCUUCAUUCUUGAACUUUAAGGAAGAUAGAAUAGAAACAUUUUUAAGUCUUUUAUUUAAAAAAAUAGUGAUGCAUAUACCUAAAAUGAUUUUGCAAGGCCUCUCGUAAGGUCUCUUAAGUUUCCUGUCUCCUUAGGAAAUUCUUUCAGCUCUUUUAGUAGAUUUAGAAGUUAUGUGUCUUGUAUUUGAACAAUGCAUGGUAGUAAUCUUUUGGUUUUAGGCAUCACCACUUAACAUUUAGUGGUGAAUUUAUUCUUUUUUCCCCUGUCUUUCCACUUAUUUCUUCAUGUAUAAGCACACUUUUCAUGGCCUUCCAAUAUAGUCAUUGUAAUUUUAGUUCACUUUUCAAAAUCUAGUUUUGACUGAAUAUGGUUCAUAUCUAUGCUAAGAAUUUGCUGUAGUUACUUUUUUCCUUGCACAGCAUUUUGUUCUGUGGUUGAUAAUUACCUUUAAAGUAUUGAGGUAAUUGUAGACUGUUAGAUCGGUAGUAGGUAAUAUGUAGAAAGCCUUGGCACAUUUUUACCAGUUUUCCUGAACAUUCUAUAAAACUGUAUAGUAUGGCGCUGUGCCCAGGAUACUGAUACAGUCCAUCUUACUGAGAUUUCUCCAGUUUCAUUUGCAUGGUGUUUGUUUGAACAAAUAAGUUCUGUGUGGCAUUCUUACCUGUGUGUCCAUGGGUUUGAAGAUUUGUAGUCCACAAAACAGUCGUGUUGCUCUUUGCCCACUUCUCUCCCCAUCCCCUUCACUCACCACGAUCAGCUAUUGGCAACCAUUGAUCACCUUCUGUUUCUAAAUGUCUGCCGUUUCAAGGAUGUUAAUUAAACCGAUCCUGCUGUAUUGUAGCUUUCAGGCUUGGCUCAGUUUGUGUUUAUUCCCUGGAAAUUCAUCUGGCUCUUGUGUAUGUCAAGAGUUUGUUCCUUUAUAAUGCUAGAUAGAAUUGCAUGGUGCUUAUGCUGCCCUGCAGCCUUCUCACCUAUUAAAAGACAUCUGAGUCCUUUGGGUUUUGGGCUGUUAUCAAUAAAGGUGAUAUAAACAUGUGGUAAUGUA